GCAAGCCUAUAAUCAAUUUUGAUAACAGUGUUCAUUCAGCUGAUCAAACAAAUCAUGAGGCUUGCACUCCCAAAACCAGCAUACUGUCGCUAAAUGAUAAACUGAGUAAUUAGCAUAAGAAUGUGGCCAUAUUGUAUACUUUAGUACAGAGAAAUCAUAAUACAUUACUUUUAUUAACUUUAGAAUAAUACCUACAGUAAACAGACCGAUUUGGUAAUAAGCGUCACUUGACCUAACUUGGGUGUUGGAUGUAAACAAUGGACUGGGACAGCGGAGAUUGCUAUGGAGGCUGUCCCUUAUUGCUUUAAAGAUCAUCAUAAUUGCUGUAUUUGUUCUUUUGAACGUGAUGUAAGUUACUCGAAGCCGGGCACUCAUGAAGGUCACACAACGAGCAUACAACAAAUCUAACUCCGCUACCAGUGAGCAAUAUCUACAGAAUUUUGGUGGCAAACUAAACAAAUCGUCAUUAACAACGAUUCGUUGUACACAUUGUGGCGUUCUGUUCUACAUAGAAUCGCAUCGGCAGAUGACCAUGGGGGACAGCGAUUGAUUUCUUUUUAAAAAUAAUUAUCAUAGAUGAAAGUUUAGUUUUCUUGUUUUUAUUUGAAUGAUAGAAUACUCAAUCAUUUUUGGUUGUGAUAAAUAAAGUUGGAUUAACAUAGUUAUACUGUAAAGUACUGAGGUAAUUAAAAUUGAAUGUGAUGUCCCAAUCAAUAUACUGCAAUGAAUCAACUACUGAAAUUUACUUAAAAUCACAAUAAAAUUGAAGAAUUCAUUAAAUGAAACUGAGUACAG